CGGUCCUGGGGAGUGCAGUGUGAGCAGGGGAAGGGCUGUGGCCUGAAGGCGGAUUCCCAUGCUGGUCAGGGUCAGGGUCAGGGCUUGGGGUUAGCC